CUUUCAGCGCAGAGUCGCGAGUCGACGCGACCAGCGACACUGGAGGAGUCGCUGGAGGAAGAGUCACGUGACGCUGCGAGGCCACGCCCCCAUAGAAAUCACCAUGGUGACCAGCUGAGAGAGUUCAGAUUCAGGAGAAAGGUACUUCAAGAGAUUUGUAAGGAUAUUGCUGAAGUUGUCGACAAAUCAGCCACAGCUUAUGAUGCGAAAGUGGAUGCUCAGACCAAAACAUCCAUGAUAAAGGAGAAGAGAGAGCCUCCAUGGAGAACGGGAAAAGAACCAGACGCAGACAGGAGAUGAAGGAGCAGAGGAAGGCAGAUGGUGGAGAAGAGACACCUGACUCUCUGAAGAAGGCUUUCCAGCAGAUUCAAGAAAUGACUGGAGAAGAGCAUUUGGGGAAGCUGCUUACAAGAUUCAUUCAGGAAUGCAGAAGCUGAGAGUCUGAGAGAGGAGAUCCAACAGACAUGACUAUGAGGCAGAGGACACUUCUCUGAUAGAUGAGGUGGAUCGACCUUUGACCCAUGAAGAACUCUGUCAGUACAUUAUGAUGAAGAGUGACCAGCAUGAAGAUGAAUCUCUGAGUGAAAACCCCUGACAGCAGCACCUCGCUGGAGGCUUAAGACACAAUCUGCUCUUCUGGUUAUUAUUUUAUUCUGUGCUCAGUCUCUAAUGCUUGAAGGAUUUGUGUCUCUUUGAAAUAAAUAACAAUUCCUCAAUUCCUGUUUCCUUUAAAGAUCUCAAAAUUGCAUAUGGCAGAGGAAUUCACACAGAUUUUUAGCCUGGAGAUUCUCUAACAGUAGUGUAUUAUGUUCUAUUUUCUGCAGCUCAUGGUCUAGUACAUGUCUUUUAGUUAUAUUCUGUGCAGUGUGUGUGUUCAACUGUUUCUGGGUCAUUACAUUGAGGUUUAGCUGUCUCGAAACUCGACCCCUUGUUGCAAAAAGUUUUGUGGGCCACUGGGUUACCAUGGAAACUCCCCCAUUUUUUUUAUCACAGCCAAAGGUCAUUUUCUCAUACUAGCAACAGCUUGCUCUCACCCACUCACAAGGACCGCCCACACUGCAAAAAUCGGCCAAUCAGUAAUCACGCUGACCAAAAACGAAAACAGUGACUGCUUUAUUAUCAUGCCAUCUUAUCUCAUCGUUCCUCUCGUUUUUCUUCUCUCUUCUCUUUUCAAAACUAGAAUGUAAGCCGUUAGUAAUGUUUGCAAAUACACUGCGAUUACUGAUUUUUGAAUUUAUCGACUAAAAUCUAAAUUGAUUCUUUCAUUCAACAAAGUCACAUUCAACUGAUGAAAAGUGACAGUAAAUACAUUUAUAAUGUUACAAAGGAUGUCUGUUUCAAAUAAAUGCUUUUAAUUUAACUUUCUGUUAAGCAAAGUAUUGUCAAAAAAAAAAUCUAUUGUGGAUUCCACACACAAAAAAAUUAAGCAGAAAAAAAACUUUUCUACAUUGAUAAUAAUUAUUAAUCAUUACUAACAAUUGAGCACCAGUAGUAACUGAUAAUAACUGAGCAGGAUAUCAGCAUAUUAGAAUGAUUUCUGAAAGCUAA